rnacentral:rRNA from 1 species
AACGAACGCUGGCGGCAGGCCUAACACAUGCAAGUCGAACGCACCUUUCGGGGUUAGUGGGGGACGGGUGAGAAACACGUGGGAACGUGCCUUUAGGUUCGGAAUCACUCAGGAAAACUUGUGCUAAUACCGAAUGUGCCCAUCGGGGGAAAGAUUUCUCGCCUUUAGAGCGGCCCGCGUCUGUUUAGCUAGUUGGUUGAGGUAAUGGCUCACCAAGGCGACGAUCAGUAGCUGGUCUGAGAGGAUGAUCAGCCACAUUGGGACUGAGACACGGCCCAAACUCCUACGGGAGGCAGCAGUGGGGAAUCUUGCGCAAUGGGCGAAAGCCUGACGCAGCCAUGCCGCGUGAAUGAUGAAGGUCUUAGGAUUGUAAAAUUCUUUCACCGGGGACGAUAAUGACGGUACCCGGAGAAGAAGCCCCGGCUAACUUCGUG